UAACGACUCUCGGCAACGGAUAUMUCGGCUCUCGCAUCGAUGAAGAAYGUAGCGAAAUGCGAUACUUGGUGUGAAUUGCAGAAUCCCGUGAACCAUCGAGUCUUUGAACGCAAGUUGCGCCCGAAGCCUUCGGGCCGAGGGCACGCCUGCCUGGGCGUCACGCA
rnacentral:rRNA from 1 species